rnacentral:tRNA from 1 species
GAGAAAUUAGUUUAAUAAAAAUAUUAGUUUGUCAAAUUAAAGAAAGGAAUAUUCCUCA